CCUACAGGAGAACAAAACGGAAAUAUGCGACGGUAAACAACGUUCUCUGCUAACAAGCUCACAUUACAUUGAUUUACUGCGGUUUUAUUGGCCUCAUUUUGCUGUAUAAUAUGCACGCAUAUAUGAGUAAGACCUGUCAUUUGUGUGAGGAACGGGACAGAGACCGCUCCACAGCCUCGUCCUACAUCAGCUAGACACGGACUUCAACAUAGACAGGUGAGCCACCACACACAAUUACAAUAGCACCAUCCACACAGUUUACAUACAAUAGCCUACACUCCUACUGAAUAAUAAUAAUUUGAUUUGGAUUUCUAUAGCGCUUUUUUUUUUUUUUUUUUUUACCAACACAAGCUCAAAGUGCUUUACAUGUAAGGAAGAAACUCACCUCAUCCAACUGUUUAUUUUCUUCUGCAGCAUGACAAUAGCAAGUUGCAACAGCCACACUAUUUACAUAUUCUUAUAUGUCUGAACUGACAUAUAAGGGGAGGGUCUACAUUCCCCUGUGCAUUCCAGUACAGGUUCACCUAAGGACAGCCAGCCAGCCAAUGAUUUGUCAACGUCUAGACACAUGAACUCGUCAAUUUAGCUUAACCCAAGCCGUUAAUUAAACAAUGUCUGAAAGUCAGAGAAUAAGAUAAGAAGUCCUCAACUCUCGUGUUAUACCUGAUUGAGUCUUGAGUUUUACCUUUAAAUGAUCAAGGCAUAAUAACUAAAUGAUUAAGUAUUACUGCUAAAUGUCAUUAUGUACUUUCAGACCACAUUCAGAGAGACUUUUAGACCUCUCAUGUGUUGUCCCAGAUGUGUUGCCAAGAGGAAGUGUUUUGCCCCUGUGGCGCUGUACAAGCCUUUGAGGAGCAGGAUGCCUGGGUGAGGAGUAUAUCCCAGUUCCAGGCUCACCAGAACGGGGGGAGGGAGCUGGCCAGUUUUAGGGAGUUGGGCUCUCAGACCUGGAGAUAGAACUGUGGUUCCCCAGAGACCAGCCUUAAAACACUGAGAUGGUGAAUGUUAUUUAUUUAUAUCAUUUAUGCCAUUUACUACCAGGGACAGUACAUUUGGACAGCCACAUAGAAGGAAGAAUAGGUCAAAAUAGUGAAGAGAAGAUGAUUGUUGCUCCCCAGACAGUGGGCAAACUGGUUGAAAUGUCUCUACAACCAGAUUGUAAUAAUGUAAUUUUAACUAGUUUUGCCCACUGUUUUUGCCAGCUGCUGGAUAUACUGCUGGAUGUAACGACGAGAUGUUUUAUGAAUAGAGACAAUGUGUGUGGUUGUGGUUAUCAAUUACACCUCCUGAGAAGGAAUAAAUGUUAGUGAUAUUGACUGAUCAACUAUGAGUGUGUUGUCAGACAUGAAAAACAUCCUGGUGGUGUAGCCUGUUAUUGAUUCUUUGACUCAGGCAUCCAUCCAAACUGGAAGAGAUCAGGGUGUAACUUUCCUCAACUCUGUUUACUUCAAUACUCACCGAUUAAAGGAUGCUAUUAUUAUUCCACCUGUAUUACCGGUUGGACUCAUUGAACAGUAUGAUCAAGUAGGCAGCUGUGUGUGUGUGUGUGUGUGUGUGUGGUUCAGGGCUGUGGGGUGUGUGCUUCAGGCAGCCACGUUGUGUGUUCUGCCCUACAGGGUCAUGGGGUGGGUGUGUGUGCCCUCGGGGUGCGGCAGCAGCGUCUGUAGGUGAUCCAGGACAAGAUGGUGGCUCGGGCAGAGCUCCACAUUGCUUCUCAGCCAGCUGACCCCUGUCCCGCAGAGAGAUGGUCGAGUAGGCCCUGUUCCAUGGUAAUGACCACCCGGGCUUCCUCACUGCACUCUAUCACCAAGGUGGGGUGAUAUUAUACAAUGCUAAGUGUCUGGUCGUUCACACUGCAACUUCCAUAGACCAAGAGGUUAGAAAGCCUGAACGAGUUAGAACGAAAAGGAGUUUUGGAGGAGUUUGAACAAGUCCUAUGUGUGUUGGAAGUGUCUUUGAAAAGACACAAGGAUAGGAGUUGGGUGCUGGGCUUGAACCGGAAAAUAUAAUAUUUGAAGAUGUUUUAUUAUUAAUGACCUUGGCAUCACUGUGUAUUUUGUGUAUAUGUUGAAUGUUUUGUGUUAUUGGUGACUCAUGUAUUGAAAAAAUAAAGUAAAAUGUUUAAAAGAAAUAAAGGAAUUCAGCUGUC
ensembl:lncRNA